rnacentral:misc_RNA from 1 species
CUUAAAUCCAUCAAUCCAAUUCAGAGCACAAGACCAAACUUGCCUUACGACACGACACAACACAACACAACACAUUUAAUAGUCCCAGAAAUUUAACUCUCUGCAACAUUUGGAUAUUUUAUAGUAAUAGCAGCACAUUGGAUAACCAUGAUGAAAUAAGGUUUUGAGCUGAGAGCUGAUAAGCUUCUCAACUACCACAAGAUUAUGCCUUGAGGUGGGGGAAGCACUGAUGAAGGUCUGACUUCGGGUGCCUUGCUUCAGCAUGUUCCUUGCAUUUUGCCUCCGAAGUCGUGCAGAUGAAUGUUUGCAUGCAUACCUUGCACUGGAUGUUCAUUGCCUUCUUGUUUGAUUCCAGUUGGCUGCCUUUGGGGGCUUUGAGCUUCUCCAUGUUCUUCUCGCGCGCCGUCUUCGAUUUCUGGCCGUUGCCGCCGCCCAUCGUUGAUCGGCUGGAUCUGGAUCGGCGGUCGCCGGCCGGGGAGGAGGGUGGAG